rnacentral:rRNA from 1 species
AGUGAACGCUGGCGGUAGGCCUAACACAUGCAAGUCGAACGGCAGCACAGUAAGCGCUUGCUCUUACGGGUGGCGAGUGGCGGACGGGUGAGGAAUACAUCGGAAUCUACUUUUUCGUGGGGGAUAACGUAGGGAAACUUACGCUAAUACCGCAUACGACCUACGGGUGAAAGCAGGGGUUCUUCGGACCUUGCGCGAUUGAAUGAGCCGAUGUCGGAUUAGCUAGUUGGCGGGGUAACGGCCCACCAAGGCGACGAUCCGUAGCUGGUCUGAGAGGAUGAUCAGCCACACUGGAACUGAGACACGGUCCAGACUCCUACGGGAGGCAGCAGUGGGGAAUAUUGGACAAUGGGCGCAAGCCUGAUCCAGCCAUACCGCGUGAGUGAAGAAGGCCUUCGGGUUGUAAAGCCCUGUUGUUGGGAAAGAAAAGCAGCAGGUUAAUACCCCGCUGUUCUGACGGUACCCAAAGAAUAAGCACCGGCUAACUUCGUG